rnacentral:rRNA from 1 species
CCUACGGGUGGCUGCAGUGGGGAAUAUUGGACAAUGGGGGCAACCCUGAUCCAGCCAUGCCGCGUGUGUGAAGAAGGCCCUCGGGGUGUAAAGCACUUUCAGUGAGGAAGAACGCCUGGUGGUUAAUACCCAUCAGGAAAGACAUCACUCACAGAAGAAGCACCGGCUAACUCCGUGCCAGCAGCCGCGGUAAUACGGAGGGUGCGAGCGUUAAUCGGAAUUACUGGGCGUAAAGCGCGCGUAGGUGGCUUGAUAAGCCGGUUGUGAAAGCCCCGGGCUCAACCUGGGAACGGCAUCCGGAACUGUCAAGCUAGAGUGCAGGAGAGGAAGGUAGAAUUCCCGGUGUAGCGGUGAAAUGCGUAGAGAUCGGGAGGAAUACCAGUGGCGAAGGCGGCCUUCUGGACUGACACUGACACUGAGGUGCGAAAGCGUGGGUAGCAAACAGGAUUAGAUACCCGGGUAGUC